GGUAAACGGCGGCCGUAACUAUAACGGUCCUAAGGUAGCGAAAUUCCUUGUCGGGUAAGUUCCGACCUGCACGAAUGGCGUAAUGAUGGCCAGGCUGUCUCCACCCGAGACUCAGUGAAAUUGAACUCGCUGUGAAGAUGCAGUGUACCCGCGGCAAGACGGAAAGACCCCGUGAACCUUUACUAUAGCUUGACACUGAACAUUGAGCCUUGAUGUGUAGGAUAGGUGGGAGGCUUUGAAGUGUGGACGCCAGUCUGCAUGGAGCCGACCUUGAAAUACCACCCUUUAAUGUUUGAUGUUCUAACGUUGGCCCGUAAUCCGGGUUGCGGACAGUGUCUGGUGGGUAGUUUGACUGGGGCGGUCUCCUCCUAAAGAGUAACGGAGGAGCACGAAGGUUGGCUAAUCCUGGUCGGACAUCAGGAGGUUAGUGCAAUGGCAUAAGCCAGCUUGACUGCGAGCGUGACGGCGCGAGCAGGUGCGAAAGCAGGUCAUAGUGAUCCGGUGGUUCUGAAUGGAAGGGCCAUCGCUCAACGGAUAAAAGGUACUCCGGGGAUAACAGGCUGAUACCGCCCAAGAGUUCAUAUCGACGGCGGUGUUUGGCACCUCGAUGUCGGCUCAUCACAUCCUGGGGCUGAAGUAGGUCCCAAGGGUAUGGCUGUUCGCCAUUUAAAGUGGUACGCGAGCUGGGUUUAGAACGUCGUGAGACAGUUCGGUCCCUAUCUGCCGUGGGCGCUGGAGAACUGAGGGGGGCUGCUCCUAGUACGAGAGGACCGGAGUGGACGCAUCACUGG
rnacentral:rRNA from 1 species